CAGGGCUAACGACGUCGUCAGAAAUGUCGUCAUAAUGUGACGACGUCAUCAAAAAGGGCGUGAUAAACAUGAUAGCCCAUUAGAAAUGUCGUCACUGUUUUCCAGCUUGACAUGCUGGAGUAAAAUAGGCAUAACUCUUUGCUCUGAUAUUAAAUUUAGGCGAAAUUGGUAUCGUUGGAAAGAUAAUCAAAGAUAUUUCAUUUGAUAUAUAGA
rnacentral:lncRNA from 1 species